rnacentral:misc_RNA from 1 species
GAUGAAGAACGUAGCGAAAUGCGAUACUUGGUGUGAAUUGCAGAAUCCCGUGAACCAUCGAGUCUUUGAACGUAAGUUGCGCCCGAAGCCACUAGGCCGAGGGCACGCCUGCCUGGGCGUCACACGCCGUUGCCCCCCCAUCUACUCCUUCGGGAUUGCGGGGGGGCGGAUGAUGGCCUCCCGUGCGCCUAGCCGCGCGGUUGGCAUAAAUACCAAGUCCUCGGCGACGCACGCCACGACAAUCGGUGGUUGCGAAACCUCGGUUGCCCGUCGUGUGCGUUCGUCGCGCAUCGAGGGCUCGAAAAAAUGCUCGGCUCCGGCUGGGCUUUCAACGCGACCCCAGGUCAGGCGGGGUUACCCGCUGAAUUUAAGCAUAUCAAUAAGCGGAGGA